rnacentral:rRNA from 1 species
UGGGGAAUAUUGGACAAUGGGGGCAACCCUGAUCCAGCAAUGCCGCGUGUGUGAAGAAGGUUUUCGGAUUGUAAAGCACUUUCGGCGGGGACGAUGAUGACGGUACCCGCAGAAGAAGCCCCGGCUAACUCCGUGCCAGCAGCCGCGGUAAUACGAAGGGGGCUAGCGUUGCUCGGAAUGACUGGGCGUAAAGGGCGUGUAGGCGGUUUGUACAGUCAGAUGUGAAAAUCCCCGGGCUUAACCUGGGAGCUGCAUUUGAUACGUGCAGACUAGAGUGUGAGAGAGGGUUGUGGAAUUCCCAGUGUAGAGGUGAAAUUCGUAGAUAUUGGGAAGAACACCGGUGGCGAAGGCGGCAACCUGGCUCAUGACUGACGCUGAGGCGCGAAAGCGUGGGGAGCAAACAGGAUUAGAUACCCUGGUAGUCCACGCUGUAAACGAUGUGUGCUGGAUGUUGGGCAACUUAGUUGUUCAGUGUCGUAGCUAACGCGAUAAGCACACCGCCUGGGGAGUACGGCCGCAAGGUUGAAAC